rnacentral:lncRNA from 1 species
GGGAAAAGUUCUGCUGAAAACUCUAGGGAUGGUUAGUCGUUUUAGGGAAAUACGGGGAACUAGAUGGAUUCUGGUUUUUAUUUAUCUUCCUUCAAAACAGCUACUAGUAAUCUGCAGAAAAGAUGCAUGGGAAAUAAGCCCGGAAAACUGAGCCCAAAGUGAGGUGCAAAGGUUCUAAAAGGAUCAGUGGUCAAUGAUAUCGUGGCAUGUAUUAGCUGAGUCCAAAGUUGAUGUGAGUUCCAAAAUUAUACUGAGACUUUGGGGGAAAACAAAAGCUCAGCUAUGCUCAUCCAUCAGAUUUCAGUUCCUUCAUCAGUUCCUUGAGUGGCCACCACUUCUACUGUGAUAAGUCACCACUGACCUGCACCACUGCUCUGUUCUUGUCACAGUUACAAGACAUUGGAGGAAACACCAGAGCCCAUACAGGGAUGGUUGAUUGUGAGAAAAGGGAGACGCCAUCUGCCCAUUCAGGAAUGUGUGGUGAGACUCUCUCCUUGGGCUCUGCACACCACCGUGAACAUUUUGUCAGCACGGGUGACUCAUAGCUUACACGGAAAACAGUAGUUUGUCCCUAGCAACCGCACAUCGUCUUUUUCCCAGACAUUUCCAAUUUCUCUGCACUCCUAUGGAGACUGUUAUUUUCUUCUUGCUUCACUCUUUGUGUGACAUAAGACAGAAAUCUACACAGCUCUUCCACACUAUGGGUGUAUAUGGACUGAACCAGAAUAACAGCAAAUAAACGGUGGUGGACCCAGGUACUGGAAAUAGCCAGACCGCUUACCUUAAGGGAAAAUGUACCAGGAAUAACCUUAGUGUCCAGCCAGCUUUUAUGAACUGCUUUUUGGUCUCCAAAGGAUGGAAAUGGUGGUGGGCCAAGCAGCCUCGGGUGAAUGUGGCCUCCUGGUUCUCGAUGCUGAUACUGAACAUGCAGUGAAACCCUGUGAGGGAGCACGAUGGCUGGGAACAGCUGAUUUGCAGAUGAAUGAGAAUAAAUGGGAGAAAGUGGAGCCUUUUCCAGCCAGUGUUCUUUAACAAUG